rnacentral:lncRNA from 1 species
UUUUCGAUUUUAACAAAAAAAAAAAAGGAAGUUUUACCUUCAUUGCAUACUUUAGUUAAAUAUCCUUUCCUUCUUCUUUGAUUCUUUGCAAGUCACUUUUUCUUUCCUCUCUUGUUGCAGGAAAACAUGGGAGAUCUAAAUGGAGCACCAACACAAGCCGAGAUUAAUGCUCAGCUGAUGGCUAACCAUGCUGAACUCCAAGCCGCACUGGCCGCUACUGUGACUGAGCAACUGGCUCAGAUAGCAGGAAGGGAUCGAGCUAAUGUUCCACGGCCAAGGAGGAGAAACCAACCCAUUCCGGAAGAGGAACAGUCCCAAUCCAGUGAGGACAACUCGGACACUGACCGUACCGAACAGGAAGAGCCGCGGUGCGAAUGGGCCGGACGUGGGAACCGACGGG